rnacentral:ncRNA from 1 species
AGUAUCCCGUCCGCCGAUGGUUCAUCGGGCUCCUUCGGGAGCGCGGUGAGGCAAGAGGGAACCCGGUGCGAGUCCGGGACUGCCCCGCAGCGGUGAGCGGGAACGACCGCCGUCAUGAAGCACUGGGCGCCGCCAGGCGCCUGGGAAGCGACGGCCAGUAGGUCCGCCGGUGGAGACCGGCGGGUGCCCGCGAGUCCGAAGACCUGCCAUCGGCACGCGCACCGA